rnacentral:rRNA from 1 species
UACGAAGGGGGCUAGCGUUGCUCGGAUUGACUGGGCGUAAAGGGCGCGUAGGCGGUUCGUACAGUCAGACGUGAAAUUCCUGGGCUCAACCUGGGGGCUGCGUUUGAUACGUGCGGACUUGAGUGCGGAAGGAGGGUCGUGGAAUUCCCAGUGUAGAGGUAGAAAUUCGUAGAUAUUGGGAAGAACACCGGUGGCGAAGGCGGCGACCUGGUCCGAUACUGACGCUGAGGCGCGAAAGCGUGGGGAGC